rnacentral:rRNA from 1 species
UACGUAGGGGGCAAGCGUUGUCCGGAUUUAUUGGGCGUAAAGCGCUCGCAGGUGGUUCGUUGCGUCGUGCGUGAAAGACCCCGGCUCAACUGGGGAGGGUCGUGCGAUACGGGCGAACUGGAGGCCAGUAGGGGGAUGCGGAAUUCCGGGUGUGGUGGUGGAAUGCGUAGAGAUCCGGAGGAACACCAGCGGCGAAGGCGGCAUCCUGGACUGGUCCUGACACUCAUGAGCGAAAGCGUGGGGAGCGAUCCGG